rnacentral:lncRNA from 1 species
UGAUAUGGGCCCAACACCUGGAUGAUGUUACUCUUCUGCCUAGGUCAUGCGUAAAGAGGGAAUUAGGGCAUAUUGCUUGGCCCAGUCCCGUAAUGAUAUGACUCUCCUGCUUGUGCCAGAGCCACAGAAGUGUGCUUGGUGACAUAAUCUUUGAGGCUGUCACAUCACCAAGAUUAUAUUGUAUCACUGGACCAGCAUAAAGCUGACACUUCUGACUAUGCCCAGCCUUCAAAUAAUACUACACUGUAUAAUUGGCUCAACACCCAGGUGAUAUUGUUCCAUUUACCUGAGACCAGAUAAAAAGCCUAAUGAUGACGCUUGUCCCCAGAGCCAGGACACGUGCAGGACAGGAUCAUUACUCUCAUCCCUGCCCCAGAUUUUCACAGUGGGCUUGCUGACAUAUUAUGUGAAACUGUACCCGGGUGAAGUGACUCUUCUGACUAGGCCCAGCAUACAAAUGAGAUUAUGCUGUAUCACUGGCUCAGUGUCGAGGCCCAGAUCACAGAAGUAAUUGUGCCAUAUGUGGAACAAGCAGCUAAGCAAUAGAUAACAUCCAUCGUGGCUCUGCCUUCAAAGGGAAAUUUUACAUAUGUCACUGGGACCAUCACCCAGAUGAUGUCCUGCCCACUAAAAGAAUUGUGACAUAACGCUGACUGCAAAAACUGGGUAAUGCAACUCUCCUCUUUAUUCUGGAGUCUGCCAAAACAAGGGAUUAUCACAUAUUGCGGAGUCCAGCACCCAGGUGAUGUAAAAUUUUGUCAUAUACCCAGCUUCAGAUACCAUGCAAUAAUACAACUAUCAUACCUGGACCCAAAGAGGAGAGAUAUUUUGAUUCUCAUUGCCAUUCUUAUGGCCACAAGCAAAGUAAUGGUUCUCAUAGUGGUAUAAAGUUCACACAGUAUUAUGACACUCCCAGCGUAUCAUAGAAAAUGUGAGUAGUACAAUGAGUGUUAUAACAGGGAACAGCAAACCAAUGCUAUUGUGAUUAUUGGAUUCACACCCAGCUGACG